CUGGAGAUACUCCGGGUUUAUAAGUAUUGUAACAUACAGAAAUGAUUGGCAUGGCCCGUUGUGCAAGGAUGACAAACACAUUCAUGAAGCGUCCCAUAUUGUU
rfam:Tupaia chinensis contig85480, whole genome shotgun sequence.